rnacentral:rRNA from 1 species
UACGUAGGCAGCAAGCGUUGUUCGGAGUUACUGGGCGUAAAGCGUGCGUAGACGGUUGCGUAAGUCAGAUGUGAAAGCCCCCGGGCUCAACCUGGGAAUUGCAUUUGAGACUGCGUAGCUAGGGUGCGGAAGAGGGAAGCGGAAUUUCCGGUGUAGCGGUGAAAUGCGUAGAUAUCGGAAGGAACACCAGUGGCGAAAGCGGCUUCCUGGUCCAGCACCGACGUUCAGGCACGAAAGCGUGGGGAGCAAACAGG